CGAUUCUCCUGCCUCAGCCUCGAAAGUAGCUGGGAUUACAGGCAUGCGCCACCAUAUCCAGGGUUCAUCGUGCCUUUAUGUGCUGCAACUCUCACCGCGAAGGUCUGCAGAUUCACUCCUGAGGCCAGCGAGACCACAAACCCACCGGGAGGAAUGAAUACUUGCAGAAGGGAGGAAUGAACAACUACAGACGUGCCGCCUUAAGAGGUAUAACACCGCGAAGGUCUGUGGCUUCACUCCUGAAGCCUGCGAGACCAUGAACCUACCAGAAGCAAGAAACUCCGAACACAUCUGAACAUCUGAAGGAACAGACUGCGGACACACCAUCUUCUAGAACUGUAACGCUCACUGCGAGGGUCUGCGGCUUCACUCUCAAAGUCAACCAGACCAAGAACCCACCAAUUCCGGACAAAACCAGAUUGGAAAAUACUGAUGGAAAGUGAAUAUACACUUAUUUUGUUAAGCCCUUCUGCAAAGCAAUAAAAAGUUUUGAUAAUUAUUAACUCAUAGCCAACCCUAAGUAUACUUUAUGUAAAGUUAGUUGCAUAUAAAAUAAUUGCUUUCUAGAGUUUCAUAAUGUAAAAACCCAAAAUCUGUUACU